AUCAAUCGAGCUUUCAUAUUCAUGAAUCAGCAUUUUCAACUGAAUCAUCGCAGUGUCGGAGAAACAAUUAGCUUGAGGUCUCUUAGAAAUGCACUGUCGAGCCUUUGUGUGUCUUCCCAUGCAUCUCAAAGACUCGAACACUGUCUCUAUGUCACGUUUCUUUUGUGCAUGACGUUCUUUUCUUACG